UAACAGAUUCUAUGGCUUCUCUAGGUGUCCAAAGUAGAACCCAAAUCAGUUGGUCAAAAGUAACAUAUGUAUUCUUGAAAAAGU